CAUUUAAAAAGCUCCUGAUCUUACAGAUUCAUUAAAAAGUCAUGCUUUUGUUGGAAAGCACUUUUGAAAAUAUUUGAAUUCCUUCAGUUCAAACAAAGAAGAUUAAAGAAACAUGGAUGAUAAAUUAGCUACUAGUAGAAGCAAUUUCAGCUGUUUGGGAGUUGAUGAAAUAAAUUAAUCUUCUACCAGUUUGCUGGCUGUAACCCACUACGUCGAUUUUAUGAUCUGCUAAUGCUGAUUUAGAAGAUCGGAUUAGACAAGCAUAGGCACUACAGAUGGGAACAAGUCUUCUGAUACGCCACCCAAACACAGUCAUCGCAGACACCUACCAGAUGCCAGGGAGUUGAGCUCCGUUUGGAUCCUGAAAAGCAGGAGCUCUUGCCCAGCCUCACCCUUGAAAAUUCCCUGCCACAGCUCACACACAGAUCCACCCCAUCCACUGUCCCACAGGUGGUGACCAGCCACUCAGUGUUCUCCGAAGAGACUCAAGUCAUCAACAGGAAAAAGGCUGGGUGGUGCGCAGUCCUGCAGGCUUCAGCAGGUUCAUCUCUAGUCCUUCCCUUGUCCUCAUACUCAGUGAACAAACCUCUAACAUUCACUUGGAUUUUCAUUUUACACAUAGCUUGCAAAGAGGAAGUUCUCAUUGUGAAUUAGUAAAUAUACCUCCUGAUACUAAUUAGAUUGAGCUUCCUAAAAUGUGGUCUCACCUUAUCUUUUCUUAAUCUCUAAUCAAAAAAUCUUCAACACUGUUUGCCUACAAAAUAAAUCUAAAGUUAAGCACUAAAGGCAUAUAUAUACAUAUGCAUGCAUCUAUGUACUUAUAUUCAAUAUAUUAUUUUUAUAACUUUUAGUAUGCCUGAUAUAUGUCAGAAUAUAUAUUUUAAAUACCUUCUGUAACAUUACUGUUACUCCUACACAAGAUUAAUAUGUCAACCAGCACACCAUUAUGUUACUUAAUUUUGAAUGAAAUAGCCCAUAAAAUGAGAUGAGAAAAUGAAGUAAGAGCUAUGCAUUUUGGAAAGAGGAGGUAAAAUUAUCAUUAUUUUGCUAUCAAUCUGAUUGUAUACCUGAAAAACCCAGAGAAAGCAACUGAAUUUUAUUAAAAGUAAAAAAAAAAGUACUUUUUAUUUUUAUUACAUGCAGAAUUCAGUAAAUUCUGGAUGAUUAUAAAAUUAAAGUUUUUUAAAGAAUAGCUCAUUCUUUAUUCUAAGUAAUUUUGAUUCAUAUAAAUUUUUUUUAAAACCCAAGCAUGUAUUCAUGUAUUUUUAGUGUGAUUGAAGACAUCUUGAAAACAAAAUAGUGUUCUAGACAUAAAUCACUCAUGUAUACAAAUACUAACCAGAUUAAAAAUAUAGUGGAAAAACAAAUUCCAUUCACAAUUGCGGUAAUAAAAAAAAAGAAGUAAACAUAACAAGAAAUGUGUAGGAUCUAUAUGAGGAAAACUUUAAAAUUGUACUGAGGUCAUCAAAGAAGAUUUCAACACAUGGAAAGGUAUAUCUUGCUCUUGGAUAGGAAGAUGUACUCCCAACAGUAUAAGCAAGGUUAAAAGAAAAAUUUAACAGGUGAAAAUAUUUGUAACAGGUAACACAGCUAAUGGGCUAAUUUCUGACUGUAUGGAAGGAUUUUUAAAACAAGAUUAGAACAACCGAAGAGGAAUUGGCAAAGCAAUCAACAGGCAUUUCAGAGAAUAGUUAUAAGUGGCCAAUAAAGAUCCAAAAAUGCUC
ensembl:lncRNA